CUUAGCUGCUGAAGAAGGAGAGUCGCAUUCAGCCAGGGAUCACUGAGCAUUCAAAAGUCCAUCUGAGACCUGCUUUCAUUGCACUGCCUCGUGAGGAGCUGUAGGAGAAGAUAUCAUAACUAUUCCCCACUUCUAAUUGUUAGAAGCAACAGCUGUCUAUCAAGAACAAUCUGAGGAUUGUGCACAAAUUGAUUUGGUUCUAUCAAGUGCUGGCUUUCGAUUCCAGUCUGACUUCACUACCACAGGAGCUUCUUGCUCAGGCUUCUGUUCCGGCUCCAUUCUCUCCCUGCCAUUAUAAUGCCAUCCACUGCAGCACCAUCUCUUCAAUCAAUAAAGAAGCUGAGGUUCAGAGAGGAUAAAUGAACUACCUGAUGUCGCCCAAGGAGGAGCACGUCAAGAUUUUCACUAGGUUGUCUUUCAUGCCAAAGUGUGUGCUUUGAACUCCAAGUUGCCAUGGUGUCAAAGGAGGGAACAUUUGGGCUUUCCUAUCAGCUUGCCCACAUGGGGCAGUGGGAGAAGAAGUGAUGGUACUUGAAAGCUGUCAACAGUCAAACAUCAAAAAUGGAGUCAAACUCUAUUACAAACUUGCAGACCAGAGAUGUCUCUUCAUCAGUGCUCAGCCCAGCUACCCUCUAGGUUGGUCUUUCUGAGGUGGCUGAAAUUCAUUAAUAAAGUGGUG
rnacentral:lncRNA from 1 species